GUUGCUUUCAUUGGCUUUUCCUUCAAACAUCAUGACCAGUUUAAGUACAGCAGAGCGUUUGCCAAGCAUCACAUUAACGAAGUCCUGGUAGGAAAUGGUCUCGCUAACCCCUCCGGUCACCUCAGAGAUCAUCUUCUUCAGCUCUAGGUGGGUCUUUGGAACACCCAUCUUCUCCAUCAUCCUUUUGACAGACAUCAAAUCAAUCUCGCCUUGGUUGUUCAGGUCAAACUCCAUGUACUUCUCUUUGAACACUGCCAGCUUCUCCUCCAGAUCUUCCUCAUCACUGAACUUUGGGUCACAGAGAAAUUCCUUAUUGAUCUCCUCCAGCCGCCCGUCCUGCGGGGCGCGUCGCACUCCCCCUCCGCUCGGCCGCCGCGGAGCCGCCAUCGCGCGGAGCCGCCCCGUCCCCCGCCGCCGUCCUUAAGUAGGGGCGGGCCGGGCUGGGCCGUAGGGCCUCCGCCCCCGCCGUUAACCCCUUCCCCGCUCCACGGGGAGCGCGAGCCCGGUGUCCGCGGGAUGGAAAUCCGCUGGGAAGUACAGAUUACAAGAAGGAAAAAGUAAACUAAAUCCAGCAGAGCGGUACGCACGCUGCUCGCGGUGUUCCCCGACGGGCGGGACGUGGCCGAGGGGGGUCGGGAGGAGGACGUGAUGGGGACGAGAAAGGGACGGUCUCCCCCUAGCGCACAGCCCGGGGGUGCCGGGGGCAUUGCUCCGGCCGCAGCGCUCCGAGCUGCUAUCGGCGAGCAGCUGUGCAAAGCACGUCGGUGCGCGUUGCACCUCGCGCAGGAGCGCAUCGCUGCGUGUCC
rnacentral:lncRNA from 1 species